UGGGGAAUAUUGCACAAUGGGCGCAAGCCUGAUGCAGCCAUGCCGCGUGUGUGAAGAAGGCCUUCGGGUUGUAAAGCACUUUCAGCGGGGAGGAAGGCGAUAAGGUUAAUAACCUUGUCGAUUGACGUUACCCGCAGAAGAAGCACCGGCUAACUCCGUGCCAGCAGCCGCGGUAAUACGGAGGGUGCAAGCGUUAAUCGGAAUUACUGGGCGUAAAGCGCACGCAGGCGGUCUGUCAAGUCGGAUGUGAGAUCCCCGGGCUCAACCUGGGAACUGCAUUCGAAACUGGCAGGCUAGAGUCUUGUAGAGGGGGGUAGAAUUCCAGGUGUAGCGGUGAAACGCGUAGAGAUCUGGAAGAAUACCGGUGGCGAAGGCGGCCCCCUGGACAAAGACUGACGCUCAGGUGCGAAAGCGUGGGGAGCAAACAGG
rnacentral:rRNA from 1 species